rnacentral:lncRNA from 1 species
UGAAUGCAGACACAGCUGCUGGUGGUUUUGUGUAUACCCGUAAAGACAAGACAAGCUGAGAAGCCUUACUUUUUGGGGAAGUAAAAGAAGAUGGAAAUGGAUGUUUCAUUUGUAUGACUUUGGAGCAGUGCCGAAGGCCAAAGCCGCCUACUGGUUUGUGGUUAACCUAGAGAAGGUUGAAAAAUUAAUCCUACCUUGAAAGGGAUUUGAGGUAGGCUGGAUUCCAUCGCCACAGGACUUUAGUUAGAAUUAAAUUCCUGCUUGUGAUUUAUAUCCAUGUUUAGGCUUUUCAUAAGAUGAAACAUGCCACAGUGAACACACUUGUGUACAUAUCAAGAGAAGAAGGAAAGGCACAGGUGGAGAACAGUAAAAGGUGGGCAGAUGUCUUUGAGGAAAUGCUCAAUGUCUGAUGCUAAGUGGGAGAAGGCAGAGAACAAAGGAUGUGGCAUAAUGGUCUUACAUUAUCCAAAGACUUGAAGCUCCAUGUCUGUAAGUCAAAUGUUAUACAAAAAAAAUGCAAAUGGUGUUUCAUUGGAAUUACCAAGUACUUAGAACUUGCUGGCUUUCCCAUAGGUGGUAAAGGGGUCUGAGCUCACACUGAGUUGUGCUUACCCUGCUUGUGCAGCUCCAGGCACCUGGUGGGCACUCUCGUGGUGUUUGUGGUGAACUGAAUUGAAUCCAUUGUUGGGCUUAAGUUACUGAAAUUGGACCACCCUUUGUCAUUCUCGGCGGGAGCUACCUGGUCUGUGCUUUACUUGGCUUUUUUCCUUCCCAUCUUAGCCUCACCCCCUUGUCAACCAGAUUGAGUUGCUAUAGCUUGAUGCAGGUACCCAGUGAAGUUUCUCCAUAAAAGAUUGGGAGUCGUUGAAAUGUUUAGAUUCUUUUAGGAAAGGAAUUAUUUUCCCCCCUUUUACAGGGUAGUAACUUCUCCACAGAAGUGCCAAUAUGGCAAAAUUACACAAGAAAACAGUAUUGUAAUGAUACCAUUACAUAUGGAACAUUGAAAUGUUAGAGGAGUGCUCUUCCAAACGAAACAAAAAUGUCUCUAGGUUUAGUCAGAGCUUUCAUAAGUAAUAACCUUUCUGUAUUAAAAUCAGAUUAACCCUUUCUGUAUUGAGUGCAGUGUUUUUUACUCUUUUCUCAUGCACAUGUUAUGUUGGAGAAAAUGUUUACAAAAAUGGUUUUGUUACACUAAUGCACACCACUUAUUUAUGGUUUAUUUUAAGUGAUUUUUUAUGGGUUAUUUAGGUUUUCGUCUUAGUUGUAGCACACUUACCCUAAUUUUGCCAAUUAUUAAUUUGCUAAAUAGUAAUACAAAUGACAAACUGCAUUAAAUUUACUAAUUAUAAAAGCUGCAAAGCAGACUGGUGGCAAGUACACAGCCCUUUUUUUUGCAGUGCUAACUUGUCUACUGUGUAUUAUGAAAAUUACUGUUGUCCCCCCACCCUUUUUUCCUUAAAUAAAGUAAAA